rnacentral:miRNA from 1 species
UGAUUGGUCACAUAGUAUG